ACGCAGGGCAGGGCGGGGCCACACCUUGACUCCCUGGUGACUCCCCCAGGGGCCCCCCCUACCCUCCCAGAGCUCUACCCCCCGUGUUCCCACACACCCUGUUAGAUGAGGGGUGGCUGUUGCUGUGCCUGGUCCUCACAGGGCUCCCCAGACAAUGCAGAGUAAAGGCACAGAUGCCACCUGAGGGGCAGUGUUAUCUCAGGACAGGGAACCAGAUCACCUGAGUGUAACUAAGAGCAGUUUCCUUCCUAGGACAGGGCAUGGGGAACAGCAGACAGAAGGGCUGUACCAGCACUGGCAGGUACAGUGCGGGCACAGGAGAAACAAGAGGAAGGUUGGAGACUGCAGAAGGCCCAGAGUGGGGAGGAACAGCUCAGGUGAAGCUGAUGUCGUGGAUGAGUGAGGAAAAUCGCAGGCAGCACUCACGCAGUAGUAUCACCAGGGCAAGUGACAGUGUCCCCAGCAGGCUGCAGGUGACAUAUACUGACCCCACAUAUAUGGAAGCCCACGAUGCUGUACUCAGUGUGGAUGUUUGAAGGAGACAUUCAGCCUACUGAUCUCAGAAGAUUCAAGAUACAGCUGGUAUGAAAGAGAGGUGGAAAGUGUAGUCUGUGUGUGCCCUGAGACUCAGUGCCCUUGGCCCAGGCGAUGCCUCCAGUGUGGGAAACUGAAUGUUGCUUUUGGGAACGAGCAGCAGCUCUGCCAUUUACAUACAUUAAUCCUUGGAAGUACAGGAGGCAUUAUCAUUUGCCAGACUUGUUUGCAUAAUGAGGAACUCUCAAGAGAAAUUUCUUGGAGAAGUGUUGCCAUUAAGGUGCGUGUGUGUUACCACGGCAUUUCUGUUCAGCUCCCAAUGCCUUUCUCCCCUCCCCCUCCCACUUACACCCACUCAUUGGAAAGGUGAGUUCCCUGCAAGAGCCCCUCGGAGCAGCGCUGUUGGAUGGAGCUCAUGUGCCAUGUUCUCAGAAGGUUUUCAGACCCCCUGACACCCUCCACACCCAGCCCUGCUCACUCAGCCCAAAGGGUUAUGCCAUGCCAUUGACCUACUUCCUCCUGGGUACUGGGGCAGGCAAGACUUUUGCCUGGCUAAUUCAUUGCUGGUGAAUAGAUAUAAUUUUCUCAACUCUUUCUCACAAAAGGGGAUUGGGCCACAUUGGGGUGAGAAGGACUGGGUAAGUAAAGGAAUCAAACAACAACUGUUUUGUAAACAAGAUGACCUACACCCUCCUGCAGAAAUAUAGGGAAGGAAAGUGAAAGAGAGAAAGUAGUUAAUGUUUUUGAAUUAUUGGUGUCCCCUUGAAUCUAAGCAGUGGCAGCAUGGGCAGCAGAGGAGCUGCUGUGCUACCAACAGGGAGGCUUCUGGCAUCACCCUGACUGAUGGACCUCAGCUCUCCCUUCUUUCUGCAGUCAUGUGGUGGCCCAGAGCCCUCCAAGUCUCAACAGAGCGUGAGAGCCUAUGUUGCCAGGCAGCCUAAAUAAUGGCCUCUGAUGGGUUCGGCAGUGUUUUAAGAGCCUGAAAAAUGGUGCAGGAAACUACCCCCUUCCUCUUCCUCCCCUGCCACUGCCCCUUUCACUAACUCAGAUGCAUUAUCAAGACUGGAAGAGCCAGCAAGCCUCUGCUUUCCCUCAGGGGCUAGCAGCACCAGGGAAGGGAACCACCGCCAGCCAGUCUCACAGGUUUCCCCAUUUGUUUUCAUUUUGUCACCAGACAUUUCUAUUUAAGCUGCUUAGAAGGAUAUCUCAAUAAAAGCCCCGCUGGGCUCAAGGAGAUAGAG